UACAGAGGUCCCAAGCGUUGUUCGGAUUCAUUGGGCGUAAAGGGUGCGUAGGCGGCGCGGUAAGUCGGGUGUGAAAUCUCGGAAGCUUAACUCCGAAACUGCAUUCGAUACUGCCGUGCUUGAGGACUGGAGAGGAGACUGGAAUUACGGUGUAGCUGGUGAAAUGCGUAGAUAUCGUAAGGAAGACCAGUGGCGAAGGCGGGUCUCUGGACAGUUCCUGACGCUGAGGCACGAAGGUCAGGGAGCAAACGGG
rnacentral:rRNA from 1 species